rnacentral:rRNA from 1 species
GAUGAACGCUGGCGGCGUGCCUAAUACAUGCAAGUCGAGCGAACAGACGAGGAGCUUGCUCCUCUGACGUUAGCGGCGGACGGGUGAGUAACACGUGGAUAACCUACCUAUAAGACUGGGAUAACUUCGGGAAACCGGAGCUAAUACCGGAUAAUAUAUUGAACCGCAUGGUUCAAUAGUGAAAGACGGUUUUGCUGUCACUUAUAGAUGGAUCCGCGCCGCAUUAGCUAGUUGGUAAGGUAACGGCUUACCAAGGCAACGAUGCGUAGCCGACCUGAGAGGGUGAUCGGCAACACUGGAACUGAGACACGGACCAGACUCCUACGGGAGGCAGCAGUAGGGAAUCUUCCGCAAUGGGCGAAAGCCUGACGGAGCAACGCCGCGUGAGUGAUGAAGGUCUUCGGAUCGUAAAACUCUGUUAUUAGGGAAGAAAAAAUGUGUAAGUAACUAUGCACGUCUUGACGGUACCUAAUCAGAAAGCCACGGCUAACUACGUG